UGAAAAUGCCCUUCAGUCCUGAAAGGGGAGUCCAGACACUUGCAGAUGGAGAAAACUCAGAGUAUGUGUCACAGCUCCUCUAGAAAUGGCUGAAGGGUGUUCUCUAAACUGAAAUGAAGCAACCAAGAACCAACUGUGGAAUCAAAAGGAAAGGAAGAACGCACAAAGUACAAAUAUGGCGUGUUUUCCUGGGAUUAGAAAGAGACAUCCUGCAUGGAGAGAAGAGCACUAAUAUGAACACAGAGAUGUGGGUUAUUUAUACCAAGGACAUUUUCAACCUCAGAUUGUUUCCUAAAGCAAUAUCCACCCCUCAGAUACAGACAACACUGUAUCUCAUGCCAAAAUAGUUGGAUAGUGAAGAAAAAAAAUAACUUACCUAGUCAGAGGAGUAUAUAAAAAUUAAGUGCUGAAACUGGCGUUUUCUUUCUUGUAGAAAUUAAAAAGCAUGGCAUUUACCUAUUCUUA